UGUUCCAAAUUGCAUACUUCUGUACUACAUACUCAUUAUUUUGAGUGCAUAGUACGUUCCAAUUGGGUAGUACGGCAAAUGCAGUGCACUCAAAGUACCCGGAUGUUGUACUCAAAACGGUCAGAUCGUUGAGUGUGGAACGCUGGACACUUUCCACACUCAUUUGCCUCCAUCUUGGCUACGUAGCAGAAGGGGCGUAGCCACGACCACUAUUCAAACUUUUGAAAUGGCGGCAGAAAAUGCAGGAGCUGUUGCGGGGGUGAAUGCCGCACCUUAUAAAUGGAUGGAGGAGGACACAAGAUCCCUUAUCACCUGGCGUGCUGCGUAAUGCAGGAUAUGAGACCUACAUUGUGGAGAAAGGCCUGGAGGGGAGGGUGACCCCACUUUUCCUAAAGAAAAAAUGGGAGAACCUAAAACAAAAAUACAAGGUUGGUUGGUUAGCUUGUCUAUUUCAAUAUUCCACAUGUCACUAUCCUUUAUGGAUGUGAAUUCUAAAUUAUUGUUUGAGCUGAUGAAAAGGCAACUUCUAAAUAUAUCAGUGACUCUUUGACAUUACUUACUUACUUUUCUCUUGUGCAAACAUAACACCAGCAGAAGCAUUCAACAGUGAUGACUCUCCACUAUUACUAUUUCAAUAUAAUCUGGAAAUGUUCUCCUCUGUUUUUGGCUGUAUUUCCUCCACAGGACCUGAAGUGCCCC